rnacentral:rRNA from 1 species
AGUGAACGCUGGCGGUAGGCCUAACACAUGCAAGUCGAACGGCAGCACAGUAAGAGCUUGCUCUUACGGGUGGCGAGUGGCGGACGGGUGAGGAAUACAUCGGAAUCUACUUUUUCGUGGGGGAUAACGUAGGGAAACUUACGCUAAUACCGCAUACGACCUACGGGUGAAAGCAGGGGAUCUUCGGACCUUGCGCGAUUGAAUGAGCCGAUGUCGGAUUAGCUAGUUGGCGGGGUAAAGGCCCACCAAGGCGACGAUCCGUAGCUGGUCUGAGAGGAUGAUUCGGCCACAUGGGAACGGGGCCACGUCCCGACUCCUACGGGAGGCAGCAGUGGGGAAUAUUGGACAAUGGGCGCAAGCCUGAUCCAGCCAUACCGCGUGGGUGAAGAAGGCCUUCGGGUUGUAAAGCCCUUUUGUUGGGAAAGAAAAGCAGCAGGUUAAUACCCCGCUGUUCUGACGGUACCCAAAGAAUAAGCACCGGCUAACUUCGUG